AGAGUUUGAUCAUGGCUCAGAUUGAACGCUGGCGGCAGGCCUAACACAUGCAAGUCGAGCGGUAGCACAGAGAGCUUGCUCUCGGGUGACGAGCGGCGGACGGGUGAGUAAUGUCUGGGAAACUGCCUGAUGGAGGGGGAUAACUACUGGAAACGGUAGCUAAUACCGCAUAAUGUCGCAAGACCAAAGUGGGGGACCUUCGGGCCUCAUGCCAUCAGAUGUGCCCAGAUGGGAUUAGCUAGUAGGUGGGGUAACGGCUCACCUAGGCGACGAUCCCUAGCUGGUCUGAGAGGAUGACCAGCCACACUGGAACUGAGACACGGUCCAGACUCCUACGGGAGGCAGCAGUGGGGAAUAUUGCACAAUGGGCGCAAGCCUGAUGCAGCCAUGCCGCGUGUGUGAAGAAGGCCUUCGGGUUGUAAAGCACUUUCAGCGGGGAGGAAGGCGAUAAGGUUAAUAACCUCACCGAUUGACGUUACCCGCAGAAGAAGCACCGGCUAACUCCGUGCCAGCAGCCGCGGUAAUACGGAGGGUGCAAGCGUUAAUCGGAAUUACUGGGCGUAAAGCGCACGCAGGCGGUCUGUCAAGUCGGAUGUGAAAUCCCCGGGCUCAACCUGGGAACUGCAUUCGAAACUGGCAGGCUAGAGUCUUGUAGAGGGGGGUAGAAUUCCAGGUGUAGCGGUGAAAUGCGUAGAGAUCUGGAGGAAUACCGGUGGCGAAGGCGGCCCCCUGGACAAAGACUGACGCUCAGGUGCGAAAGCGUGGGGAGCAAACAGGAUUAGAUACCCUGGUAGUCCACGCCGUAAACGAUGUCGAUUUGGAGGUUGUGCCCUUGAGGCGUGGCUUCCGGAGCUAACGCGUUAAAUCGACCGCCUGGGGAGUACGGCCGCAAGGUUAAAACUCAAAUGAAUUGACGGGGGCCCGCACAAGCGGUGGAGCAUGUGGUUUAAUUCGAUGCAACGCGAAGAACCUUACCUGGUCUUGACAUCCACAGAACUUUCCAGAGAUGGAUUGGUGCCUUCGGGAACUGUGAGACAGGUGCUGCAUGGCUGUCGUCAGCUCGUGUUGUGAAAUGUUGGGUUAAGUCCCGCAACGAGCGCAACCCUUAUCCUUUGUUGCCAGCGGUCCGGCCGGGAACUCAAAGGAGACUGCCAGUGAUAAACUGGAGGAAGGUGGGGAUGACGUCAAGUCAUCAUGGCCCUUACGACCAGGGCUACACACGUGCUACAAUGGCAUAUACAAAGAGAAGCGACCUCGCGAGAGCAAGCGGACCUCAUAAAGUAUGUCGUAGUCCGGAUUGGAGUCUGCAACUCGACUCCAUGAAGUCGGAAUCGCUAGUAAUCGUAGAUCAGAAUGCUACGGUGAAUACGUUCCCGGGCCUUGUACACACCGCCCGUCACACCAUGGGAGUGGGUUGCAAAAGAAGUAGGUAGCUUAACCUUCGGGAGGGCGCUUACCACUUUGUGAUUCAUGACUGGGGUGAAGUCGUAACAAGGUAACCGUAGGGGAACCUGCGGUUGGAUCACCU
rnacentral:rRNA from 1 species